AUAUUCUCAGUAGAAGUGGUAUUGCUAAGUGAAGCCAGCUACUUUUCAUGAGGAUACUCAAGCAUUCCUAUGGAGAGAUCCACAUGGUGAGAAACUGAAGCCUCCUACCAAGAGCCAGCACCAACUUGCCAGCUAUGUGAAUGAGCCAUCUUAGAAGUGGGUUCUCUAGCCCUAGUCAGGCCUUCAUAUGACUGCAGCCAGGGCUGAUAUUUUGACUACAACCUCAUGAGAGACUGAGCCACAACAACCUAGCUAAGAAGCUCCUGAAUUCCCUACCAACAGAAACUAUGUGAGAUAAUGUUUGUUGUUUUAACUAAGUUUUCAAGUGGUAAUUUGUUAUACAGAAUAUGUAACUAAUAAAGCAUGGCUCCUUUAGGUCUAAAUGUUGUCUUUUGCUUACAUGAUACCCCAGAAGCACAGGAAUCCUGCUGUUUCAUGAAGCACUUGAGUAUGGAAAUUCUUGUGAGGUUGCCUCUGUCCCUGUUUGCCCCAACACACCAUGUAGUUAUUCCUUCACUGGACUUGCACCUUUCUACCAGUCUCUGCUCAGGAAGCAAAGCCUAAGUUUCCUCUUUUCCUAGAAAUACAGACCUAUUUGUAGACCUCCUGUUCUUCAUCUUCAGCCUGCAGAUAUUUUGUUUUUAUCUUGGGGAAAUUCUCCUCAUUUUUGGCCAUGAUACUUUGUACUUGAAUCUUCU
rnacentral:lncRNA from 10 species